UGGAAAGAGGCAAAACACAGUACCGAAAUGGU
rnacentral:piRNA from 1 species